AUCACCAUAGUGACUUGCAAGCAACUCACUGUGCUUUAGUGUCAAACUACUUGAAUUUUUAAUUUAAAAUCGAAAGAUUUCAGAGCACAGUCAAGUACUUAUGAAGUCAGUGCGUGAGUCAAGAUGGAAUUGACCACUCUAAGAGAUUGGAGAGAAUGCUUUGUGUUUCAAUUUAGUAAGACCUUGGCCAAGGUAAUUCUUAUGAGGAGUCACAGAAUUUAUUAGGUUGAG
rnacentral:lncRNA from 1 species